GCCGUGGGCAUCUAGCACUGCAGUUCCUGCAUGAACACAAUGACUGGUGGGCCCGAACCUGCAACACGACUUCUGCUGUCACAGUCAAGUCUGCC
rnacentral:miRNA from 1 species